rnacentral:lncRNA from 1 species
AAGAAAGUGGAAAUCAUCAACAAUUGAGCCUCCCUAUCUUCCUGAGGUUGCAAACGGGUUUUCCAACGCAGCAACAAAGAUGAUUAACUGUGCUAAUGGUUGUCAAACCGAAAGAUAGACCUCAAGCACUUGAUCUGCUGUGAUGAACAAGCUAAUGGUUGUCAAUCCAAGAGCCUCUCAUCUUCAGUUCCACACUGUCAAAUAAAUGCAACUUUGAGUUCUUCAUCUUCUGCAGUCGUGUCUUUUCAACCAACCAUACAAAUAAGCUGAGCUAAACAAGUCAACUGAAAGGCCACUUUUGCCAUCUUGAUGUUAAGAUCAAGUGACAAGGUAUUGCUCGUCAUUUCAUAAGGACAACCCAAAGAUGCAUGCUUGCAAACACUAAAUAGGAGAUACAGUUCUCGAUCUCCUCCAUGCAGUAGCAGUAAAGAUAACACAAAGGUGGAUGACUUCCAAAGUUUUUGUGGCAUGGAUAGCAAUUCUUCAGCUUCUUUGAGAUGAUAGUAUGGAAAAGGGAUUAGUGCUCUUUAAAAUGAGAGGAGAGAAUUGAAGAGAGAGAGAGAGAGAGAGAGAGAGAGAGAGAGUGUNNNNNNNNNNNNNNNNNNNNGAGAGAGAGAGAGAGAGCAAAGGUCCAUUGUUCCGCAGUACAAUAUAUAGCUACAAAAAGAAUUGAUGAUACUGUUGCCAUGAGCUUUUCAUCAAACCCAGGACAUAUUUUCAUCCUAGAAAAGCCUAUUUUUUGUUCUUUUGUGGAGGGAGAAGAGGAAAGGGGGUUUCAAAAUCACUAGGGUUCUUGACACAAAAUAAGAAUUUGUGGGUGUGAGCACAGUCUGAAACGCAUGAUUUAUUUGGUUUGACAUGCAUGCAAGUAUGAGCAGGUAGGCUUUUGUCUACUUGUAGGUAAUACAGGAGUACUGCUAUCAGUCUCAUAGUCACAGAUAAAGAAGAAAGAAAGCUCAGAAAUGCAUGUGGAGGUGUUUUUAAUGGUGCUACAAACCAGAUUGAAAAUUUUCAGAAUAGAACAUAUCUAAAAACCCAACUUAUUACUACAAAAUUAGUAAUAAUAAUCCCUAGUAUUAGGAAACAGAAAAAUAACAGCAAGAAUUAAUGUUGUGGACAUGUACAAACUUCAGCUACUUGAAUUAAGCACUAGAUCUGACCUCUCCAUUGUCUCCCUGAAGAAACCCUGAUGAAUUAGGGUUAGGGUUUUCAUGUGCUCCCAUCAGCAGAUGAAACUGCCAGAUGAUCUGAGUUUUUUUUCUCCCUGUGGAGAUCCAUACAACGCACAGAUCCAGGAUAUGAUCAGAUCAUGCUGGCAGCUUCAGCUACUUGUGGUGCACACCGUAGGAAGAUGGAGUAUCGACAUGAGAUCAAUAGAACAGUAGUCAUAGGAAUUAAGAAAAGAAGAGAAGAGAGGCUUUUGAUGGUUGUACAGAAGGAGGCUUUUACAGGAGGGGAGAGGAGGGGAUGAUGAGAGGAGAAAUAUAUAGGAGAAGAAAGGAAGAGUGCUAAUGUGAAGGGGGUUAUAGCUUUUAUCAUUUAAUUUGUGGAAAUGGAGGUUGGCAUUGACUAUAAGAGGAGUUAAGAAUAAUUUUAUGGCAGUGGUCCCAAAGAAAAGGCAAUUUAAUGCUAAUGUCUUACCUGCAGCCUAAGAUUUCCAUAUAUUUUCCUUGAUCUUUAGAGAGAGAGAGAGAGAGAGAGUAGGGGUCCAUUUUGCAUGGAGUUUUCUAUGUAAUGCAUAUGACUGUCAAGAAAAGGAGUGUAUAUCAUCUUUAACCCAGGAAGCUCAGGAGACAUACUCCUCUCUCUCUCUCUCUCUCUUUUGUGUUGUCUAUUAGGAUUUUUUUUGUAUAUAGAAUGAUGACUUUUAUUGGUGAAAGGAACAGUGCUGCCCUCUGUGGCAGGCCCAGUUGGUUGCUCACUUGCAGUCAUUAAAGACAUCAGCCUCUAAGCGGCAAGAACUGAUCUAAGAACUGUCCCCUCUCUUUAAGGAGGUAGAAAAGGAGAUGUGUGAGGCUAAAAGCUUCUGACAUGCAUCAUUUGCAUGUAAUUUCCCAGGAACUGUGCAUCCAUGGCCGGUCUCAUGUAUAGAACCACAACUCUCCAAUACAGUUAAAACUCCAACCCCACUGUCAUAAAUGAUGAAAACAUUCACAUAUAAUUUGUCCUAUAUCUUUGUUGUUUAGUAAGCCAUCCAUGGAUGAACUGUGAAGGUCCAUUGCCAGCAGUAUCAGUGAUUGAAGUUGAAUCAGCUUGAGGUUUAAGGGUCAAAGUCUGGCAGAUAGGACAGCCGAAUGAACAACCAGUUUAGAGCUGUCUUCUAAGCCAUAAACUUUAAUGAGUUCAGACCAGUAGGUGAUCACAAGAUUGUAGGUGUAACUACUGCCAUCUAAUGUUGAAUUGGUCAGCUUCAUAUAAAUGUGGCCAUUUACAUUUAUAGCUGCAAAUUUCUAUAUGAGGUUACAAGGAGAUGGAUGAAGUUUAUAAAUUAGGAUAUGGUGAAAUCAGGUGAAGGCAUAUAUGUUGUUGCCCCCACAUGGUCGACAAAAGCAGUAAAAGAAAGGAAAAAGGAAAAUCUGAUAAGCAGCAAUUUUCAGCUAAAAACAUUUCUGUAGCUUCCUUCAUAGGCUUCCUGUUAACAUAUGAUACAGCAGGGAAAACUAUGUCCCAAAAAGAAAUAUUUGUGAGAUAGGAAUGAAUUGUAACUCAUAUAUCAAUCAAAGCAUAUUGCUUGACUGAUGUGGGUGGGAGUAAUCAGAUUGGGGCAUUGUUGUUUUUCUCCUCACAUUUUUCAUCUCUGCAAUCUUGCUACAACGCAAGGUUUAUACUUAUUGCUACAUCUACCUCACAAGCCACCUUAUAGAUAGGUAGAUAGACAUCAAAUCACUCUCUAGUAGCUUGGACUCUUCCAUGCUUCUUGAGAAAAGCCAAUUUGGCUCUAUUGCAAUCUGAAGAAGCACAAGCAAAAACAAUUUGUUGCUAUGUUAAUCAGAUGCAAGUCUACACAAUAUAGUCUGAGAAGAAAACAAGAAAAAAGAAUUGACUUGGACAAAGUGAUGAAAGCCUGUAAACAGAAGACUCAACAUACUGCAAUAUACAUCUUGCAUUUGCCACAAACUUCAAUAGGCCUAUGAAAUGUUAUACAUCUUUUCUCAAGCAAAGAAUUGGCAUCUGUGUCUCAAGGAUAUUAUGGAUUAUUGGUUUAGAUUUUCAUAUUGCUCCUGUAAUUUCUAGAGCUCAUCGCUACACCUCGAAGAACAUUUUUCUCAGGUACUGUACUGGGAACAUUCUCUCUCUCGGUGAUGGAGAGUAAAUUUAUGAUCCAGUGUGAUGAGAUAACUUGAUAAGAUAAUUGAUUCGUUUAGAAAUUGAACUACUAAUCGAAAAUGCUUAGGCUUAAGUUAACAAUAAUACAUCACUCUUAUAAGUCAAUCUAGAUCUCAAUUCACUUUCGAUACGAGACUAAAUCGAAAGCAUUAGGAUAAAGAUUAGGAUGAGUUUCUUCCUGGUAGGUAGCACGGUAGAAUCCCGACUGACGUGAGAGUUGAGAGGGAAGAGAAGGAUGAGAAGAUUGGCCAUGUGAUGCAACAUGCUCUCCUUUCCAUUCUUUAGUGAGUGGGGGAAUCUGCCAUGCUCAAUAAUAUGAACAAAUGAAGCUGCCAAGCAUGACCUAGCUUUGCAGCAGCUUCACUUUUUUCUAUCUUAAGUCUUUUCUUUUGUUAGUCUCAAUCUAAUAAUACAGAACUUUUUUGAUUUCAUGCAAUCUUAAAUCUUUAAUCAUCAAAUCAUGCUGACAUCUACACUGAUUCACCCCUAAAGGUUUUUUUAGUCUUAAUCUAAUAAUACAGAACUUUUUUGCUUUGAUACAAUCUUUAAUUUUUAAUCAUCAAAUCAGGGUGACAUCUUCACUGAUUUCCUUGGGCGCUUUCUGAGGAAGGAUCGAGUCAAACUUUAUUUGGGAAUGAUGAUGGGGAUUGAGGAUCAAAAGAUAAAUCAACAAGAAUUUUCUUUUUCCUGGAAUGGAUAAUUUGUUUGAACAGACAAGAUAAUAUAUACAAGCACAUAGAGACAAAAAGCGCAUGCCCAACUUGGGUGGCCAAAGCAUCUGAAAGGAGAUUGAGGCGUGACAAAGUGAAAGAACCGCUGCCAAUAGCAUGCAAAGAUCUCGAAACAUUUCAUGUUCCAUCUUUAGUCAGCUGUCAAAUGACAAAGGUUAGGAAGCUGCAGGCAUCACACCAUCUCGGUGCAAUAAACGGUCCAAAAGUAAAAGCUAAGCACACGCGAGUCAUAGAACGCUUUUCGAACACCGCAACCGGCAACGAGAACAGCAAGAAAGAUGAAUCAAACACAGAUCAUGAAAGCAGAGAAGAGGAUUGUAAUCUGCAACACACCACAGUCAACUGAAGAAAGCAGGAGAUGUAAAGCAAACCACAUGAAAGAACGGAGAACACACAUUGACUCGAAAGGAGUGACAGGUAAAUUACACCGAGCAACACUUGCACUGACUCAGAAGCAGUGAUACAUACUGCAGCAAGAGGCUGUCAAAUAGAUGCUACUGACUUCAAUGUGUGUCAUCCACAAAAUGAAUGAACAAUGGGUGCUAAAUGACACUCACGAAAAUAAUCAAUGACUAUAAAUAAUGUUAAAUUAAGCAAUGUGUGUCAAUCCCCUUGUCGAAGCCCUUUCCCACCUAUAUUACCAAAAGCUAGUCAUGGUGCCACCGGAAUAAUUUAUGCUCGUCCUAUACAAUUUUACAGGCAUUGCUUAUCAUGUAUUUAUACCAAGACAGGUUAAUCACGAUCAACUGCAUGGGAUAAAAGAAGCCGCCCUGCUCGCAAUGCUUUGCUUGGUCGUCAGCUCAAUCAUCAUUCCACCCGUUAGCUAUCGGAGCUUUUAAUGCGACGAUGAAUAAUGCUUUUCUCUAUCACUUUCAGGCCAGCCUGUGGUUACUCAGAAUUCACUCGGAAUGCACCACCGAGUUAAGAAAACCAUGCCCUGAAGGAGAGGCCACAGGCUAUAUCAAACAUUUGCAGAUCGAUCCAGCAAUGUCGUCCUUGCCUAAAGAAGCUCUCAGGCUAUCCUCCAGAAGGAUCCAUGAGAGCAAGUGCCCGCUUGAGUCACCGCUCAACAACUGCUUCAGAUCGCUCGUAAGAUGGAGUGCUGUAACAGGAUGCUUGUGGGAUUUGAGCACUCUGUGCAUGGUCAACUUGUACUCCGGUAACCUCCCAUUUAAAUUCAGCCUUCCCACUUCAUUGGUCAGUGACUCACUCCUUCCAAUGGCCUCAUCUGUGGAACAGUGCACCAUGUUCCACACCUUCAAUGUUCCGCUCCGGUGGCCCGUUACGUACCAGUUUGUCUUGCCAAUCAGAGUGCAUCGGACUCAUCACUGACAAGAUAAGGUCAGAAGGGAGUUGCGAGGUGUUCACCACCACAAGGCAGUCCCCGUUGAUGCUCCAAACUGCACGCAUAAUUCCUGCGGCCAUCACAACUAUCCCUGUGAGUUCAUUCACAUGGACAGCAGAGACUGGUGCCAGGAAUAAAGGAAGCUGCUUCACAAAGACCAGGUUAGUUAAAUCCCACAGAAUUACACUACAGUCUUCAGAUCCCGUCUCGAUAAGUGAGUAAGCCUGGCUAACAUGGAGGCACGUUAUCUUGCCAGUAUGGGCACAGAGGGCCCUCAUCAAACUCAGGCGGUUGUUUUUGUCAAAUCUCCAAACUGCAACAACGCCAUCAUCGGCACCAGUCACAAGAAACUGUGACUGACUCCAAUGCAUUGAAUCUGGUUUCCACCAUGAAGAUUCUCAUGAGUCGAAAGAAGCUUAUCCUGGUCAUAGCUCAUUAUUCUCAAACUUCUAUCGGGGAAACCCCAAGAGAAAAACUUGUUAUAUGUCAAUGAUUUGAGCAGGCUAUUUUCCUUAGCAAUGAAAAUCUUUUCAGUGAAAGUCACAAUCUGAGAGAUAGAAGAAGAAGACUGACGGACUUGCUGGGGCAUGAGAUUGGUGCUGUAACGAAGAGGGAGAGGGGGAAUUUUCCUGUCAGUUCGUCGCUUAAUGUGGGGCUUCAGGAAUAAUUGCUUAGGUGUCUGCCCAAAAUGAUUUAUCUGAGCCAGUUUUGAGGCUUUCAUGGUAGGGUCUGAAACUGGAUCUAUGUCAACAUUUCCUUCAUAUGUGUAGUGAUAGAAAACAUUAAUAGCUUCUUCAGCUGCCUGUGAAAAUUUAUGAUCAAAACAACUAUAAGAACUCAUCAGAUCUGGCAUAAGUCCAGAGUGAAACAGAAAAAAAACUCAACAAUGAUCAUAAACUUCAUAUUAGUCUUCCAUACUGUAAAUCAGAUUAAGAAAAAGCCACCAUUAUUUUCUUCUAUAUUUUUCAUGGGCACUGAAAUAUUCCUGAAGAUGAUGCAUCUAAAGCUCAUGCACUUUGAAAAUCAUUGCUACAGUUUAUUUCAAGUAUUUUCUACUAUGCUACUGUUGAAGGUUACACAGAAUGGCAGGGUCUGCAACCUCAUUAAGACUUUACAACAGAUUGUGAAGUCGUAUUCACAUACUGGAACCCUCAAAGGUAUACACACUUUUCAGCUUCCAUGGACAUAUUCACCAAGAAAUCAAUUUUUUAUGCAAAUUUAAUAGUUUGUUUCACUGUAUAAAGUAAUGUCAAAUUCAAUUUAAUUUAAAUUUAAAUAAACAAAAUCGGCGGUGUCCUCCAAUAGGAACUUGAGAAUGGGGAUUCAAUGCUCAUUUAGAGUUAUUAAAGUUUUCAAGUAAGAAGAUUUUAGGAUUUUUCUGUAUUGCUAAAUGUUUGAUAUUUAUAACCAUGGUUUCAAAUACUGGCCAGACCAAUCCAGUAUUUGUUAGCCUAACCAAGAACUGUUAAUGAAUUUUAUAGCUUGGUAGCGGUAGGUGUUUUUCUUUUUUGUUAUCUCUUCAGCAAUACCAAGCUGUACAAAUCUGUACACUGACCAGUAUACCAGUCUGACAAGUUGUCAAAACAUACCCAAUAGUCAAAAGUUGCGUUCUCUAAAUGUUGACAAUAAAAUCAGGUGACAAAAACUUCCAUCAAAAAGAAUGGAAAUUCUAUAUGGGUCAUAAUCCAACAUAGCUAAACUAACAAAGAAGGGACAGCAAUUCUAAAUAACUGAAAAAUAUAGGAUAAGCGAUAUGGAAUGGGUAAAACAGUGAGUUCAUGCUUAAUAAAAGUCAGUAGUCUUCUUGGUAAAGGAAAAGGCAUACAUCACCUGAAACAUUUGCCUUGAGCAAGAAAUUUUUUGUCGCAUCUGGUGACAGGGUACAUGGCGUGCAUGAUUUCAAACCAUAUUUUCCUCCACAUGAAGUAAGAAAAUUUUUCUUUAAGCAAAUAUAAUUUUUGCAUGGAUAACAAAUUGAUAGGUUGGUUGGAGAUCAUACAAAAUUUAAGAUCAUGAUCUAUUAAGUGCUAAUAAAAAUGUUGAGUUUAGAGCUCACCUUCCCCCUCUGCUUAUAUCCAAAGAUGAGGUCUAUCCAGCAAUGCAGAUUUUCAGAAACAUAAUCUGAUUCCAAAGCUUCCCGGUGCUUCCUUAUGAACUCUCUAGCACUGCCUUUGGCCCAAGGGGGCAGAACUACAUCACCAAUCUGAGAAAGAACUUCUUCUGAUUCUCAAUGCACUAAAUGUAAACAAUGAUAUCCAACAAAAUCAAGGAGAACCCGUAUGCAUAUUUAUGUUGCAUUUGCAAAAGCAAAAUCAAAAUUUAGCUCUUAAUAUACCUUUUCACCUGAUUGUUUUACGCCCAAAUCUAGAUUAAACCGAUUCUCUAGAAACUCAGGUAUGUAAAAGAAUUCAGGGAUCAUUUCCUUUACAUCUGAUGUGUUACUCUUUCCAGCUGCACUUAACCAUGUAUCUUUUACACUAUUAAACAAACGAUCUGCAUGGUCAAACUGGCCCCCCUGUAAUUUCUGAUUUUCAGUACUGAAUGGUGGCAGCCUUACGAGAUAGAAAAGAACAAUCCCGGCACUAGAAUAGUGAGAUCCAUAGUGAAAUUUUGGGACAUCAGGGUCAUCCCAGGUUUCAUAUCUGAGAAGGCACAAAUAUGGAAAUAAGACAUCCAUAAUAUGAAUUUUCAAACAUGUGCACUAAAGCAGAGAAACUAAAUUUAGUGGAAAAUCGGACUAACCAUUUCCUGAAUUCAUCCUCUCGCUCUGCUGUUUGGGAUCCCAUUGGUUUAUCAAAUUUACAGAAACUUUGAGGACUUUUCAGAUCCAGAGUUUCACUCUCAUAGUCUGCAAGAACCCAGGGAAAUACUGGAUAUUGAGUAAGAUCACUAUAGCCACGUCCAGCAAGAGUGUUCAGGAGCAUGAGGUAUUGAAAGUUGCUAAUUUCUCCAUUUUGCCAUCUCUUUGAGAAGGACUUAGCCAUGACCUUAAAAAUAUGGCUUCCUUCAUUGCCUUCUUGUUUUGAUGACCAAGAUAUUGUUGUGUCCAACCUGUCAAUUUGUUCUCUCAGGGCCGUAUGGAACUAGAAUGUUGAAUUACACAACUAUAAUCGUGAUGUGCAAGAGAGACAAAACAGCAUAUGUAGAAACAAAAAACCACCAUCCCGGACCUCCAGAUGCAUCAUAGUGACAUAGAAGUAAGAACUUAAAACCCAGAAUCACAUUAACUCUACAAUAUGAAACAGUGAUUCAGGUAAUUAUAACUAGGGAUCACCUAAAUGGGUAUAGUUUAAACUUCAAAGAAUUAUCAAAACACAAAUAGAUGAAAGCCACAUGUCAAAUGGAGUCAACUUUGCUUGAUAACUUAUUGUUCGACUGCAAAUAUUGUACCACCUGGGAGAUGUUCCCUUUAAGUCAUUUCUCAUCAUUCAAAAACUAAAAAGAAGAUACUAUCUAUAUUUUUGUCUCAUAACAUCUCAUUUAUUUCUCAUAAUACACAAGGAUUCAGGUCAACAAGGGCACAUGUUUUCAAUAGAAUUAGUUCCUAAUUACAAAAAAACAAAGUCACCAAAAAAGACUCUGAUUAAAAAAAAAAGGCAGGUGCCAAUUGCAUAUUUAUGCACAAAACUUCAUUAAAUACAUCACAAUAAUAAGAGGAUCUGGUUGCUGAUAAACUGCAUAAUUAGCUUGUAAUUCAGUUUUUUUUAGAAAAAUGAAACCUAGUAUACUUUUCAAAUUGGAUGUAUUGAAAUAGGCUGUCAUCUUCUGCCACAUCCCAGAUUUAUAAAAAGUAAACCAUUAUUUCAAUAUUCAUAAUUUAAGAAGACUUUUUUUUAUUUUUUGAAUUCAAAUCCUUGUCUUUACAAUAAUAAAUAUUUUUUUAACUAAAAGAAGAUCACAUUUUCUUGGUAAGGCCACAAGUGACAAAAAAGUUUCUUCCACCCAAACAUCAUAUCUACUACAAAGUAGUAGGCUAUUCUGAAAAUAAAUAUAAGAGAAAAAUACAUCAAUAACCACACAUGCUAGUAGGAACAUUUGAAAAAUUAUAAAAAUAAUUAUAAUAUUCAUGAAAUAUAUAUAAAUGUUAACAACUUAAUACGAAAUAAUAACAUAUUAAUUCAUUAUGAAACUCAUAUAUCUGAAAAAUAAUGAGAAUUCUUAUGCAGUAAACAAAAUCAUGCAUUAGUCAUAUGCAACACAUCUCGAUGAUAUAUAUAACAAUCAAAUAACAAAAGUAUAUAUCACACCUGAUAGUACACUCCCAAUAAUGGAUAAAAAUACAUACUCUAUGGGAUGGAUUCCUCUUAACAACGGAUAGAGAGAACCCAUAUCACACUCCCAAUAGCAUAUGAAAUGAUAUCUCUUACUCGCCCAAGUGGGAACACAUUCCUCCCAACACCGAAUGGAGGAACCAUCUAAUCGUCAUAUCCGACGACUAGCUAAUCCCCGAAAGAAAUCACCCUAUUUGCCCUUAACAGGGAUCCAUAAACAAUCAUGAUCAUUUAUUUACAUACAUACAUUCAUGCAUACAUGCAUCUAAGAAAUAGUAUGAUAAAAUAUUAUAGAGACAAUGCUUGAUGAAUGAUCUAUUAGACUAUGUCCAUUGGUGGAACCACACUGUAUGGGCCCUUAGCUCCUUUCACAGGCUGUACUUCUAAUGUGAACCACUAGUAUAGUUACAUAUUCUAUAUGGUAACAAUCACAUCAAUAUCAUAAACUUAAUCUAAAAGAAACUGUAGAAAACCAAUAAUCAUUUCUAAAUGACACAUUCAAAUAAAAUUUUUAAGUUAAUCAAAUUAUAAAUACAUGAGACAUCAAUCUCUCAAUAGCCUUCAAUCAACUAGAACCCUAACAAAAAUAGCUUAAUUGACUGAAACCAAACUAAAUCCAAUUAGGACCUAAUGGAAUCAAUCUUAAAUCCUUAUAAAACUGAUCUGGAAUCACCCUAGACUGAUCUAAUUUAGAUUUAAUUGAUUUCAAUUAGGUCAAGUAGGUUUGAACUAGUCAAGUUGUUUUGAAAUCACGUUAAAUCGGCUUGAACCAAUCAAACUUGUCUGAUUCAGUCAAUUAAUAAGCUCAAAUCAAUAAGAGACGAAGAAAUUAGACUAUGUCACAUAGUGCUAACUCAGACCAAACUAACCCACCUGAGUCUUAGAUGGGUCAUAUGUGCCGCAUAUACGUUGAGGUACUAAGUUGGGUUGAGGUAAAAUGGUUGAAUAGAGAUACAAACUUAGUCCUAGGUACUAUUAAGUUGGGUUGAGGUACAAUGGUUGAAUAGAGAAAUAUAUAUACUGUCAGUCACAUAGCUAGGUGGACCUAAGCUUAGUGGUCUGGGUUGAGCCUCACUCAUGAGUUGGGUUAAGCCUCACCACUGAACUGGGUCACGCUUGACUCGCAGGCUGGGUCGUGCCGAACCACAUUGGUUGGGUCAUGCUUGACCACACGGGUUGGGUCAUGCCUGGCCACUUGAGUUGCACGUGCUAAGCCACAUGAGCUGGGUCGUACUUGGUCAUAUAGGUUGCAUCAUACUUAGCCACAUGGUUGAGUCAUACUUGGCUACAUAGGUUAGGUCAUACCUAACCACAUGGGUUGGAUCAUACCUGGCUAUAUAGGUUGGGUCAUACCUAACCACAUGGGUUGGAUCAUACCUGGCUACAUAGGUUGGGUCAUGCCUAGUCACAUAGACUGAGCUGUACCUAGCCACAUGGGUCGGAUCAUACUUGGUCACAUGAGCUAGGUUGUACUUAGGCAUAGGCUGAGUCAUGCUUGACCACACGAGUUAGACCAUUCCUAACCACAUAGGCUUGGUUAUGCCUAACCAUAUGUGCUAGGUUAUACUUGGCUAUAUGGGCUAGUCUAAUCAAUCAAUUUAACUCAGGUCAGACCCCCAAUUUGACCCCUCUUAUUAAAUUAGAUUUCAAUAUUUUUAAUUAUUAAAAAGUAACUUAAAUCCAUGAAUUAAAUAAUUUAGAUUCAUGGUCUUAAAUUUAAAAUUAAUUAAAUCAUAAAAAUUCAUACAUAAUUCUUGUAACAUAGAUAUAUUUAAUUAAAUGAAUUAGAGCUAUUAUGUUAAUCCAAAAUUAAAAAAAAUAAUAAUAAAUAAAUCUUAAAUUUAUUUAAGCUUAAGAGACCCAAUAUAAGUCAAAUAAUCAUUCUAAAAUAAAAAAUCAAUUAUUAUUUAUUAAUCAUAAAAUUUUAAAAUUAAAACAUUAUUAUGCAUCAUAAAAUUCUAACAAUCCUAAUAUCAAUGAAUUCAAAACAUAAAUCAAAACUGGCUGGAAAAGAAUAGAAGAUCCAACCUCUCCUUAGAGAUCCUCUCCUCAAUCCUCACAUUAUCGGCUCUGUGAAGAAUGAGUGAGGAGCCCUUUUAUAUAGAAGAAUAUGAGGUCUCCCAAAAGAUAAGCAAUAAUUUAAUUUUUAUUUUUAAUUUAUUUUUAUUUUACUUUCACACAUAAAGAUAGAAUUAUAAUAUUUAUUUCUUAUGGUUUACACACAAAAAUAGAAUUUAAACUAUUUACUUUCUAAAAUUCUCAUCACUCAUUAGGAAAUACAUCAAUUAAUAAUUUAAUUAAUUAAUAAAUUUUUUAACUUAUCCAUAUAAUUAAGAAAAUCAAUUUUAAUCUUUUCCUUAACCAUAUUAUACAAACAAGAAAGUUAAUAAUUUAAAUAAAAUAUAUUAUUUAUGGUAAUUAAUUUAUGUUGAAAAAAAUGAUCGAUGAUUACAUCUUUUCACUUAAAAUCAUUACUUACAGGCUGGGAGUAUUUAUGAUAUUCUUAAUAUUCUAUAUCUCCUACGACACCAUCAUAAUUGUCUAUUAUUUUUACUAGAUUUUAAAAACAAUUAAGGCUUUCAAUGUUGUUCUAGAAAGAAAUCAAGAGAAAAAAAUCUAUAUAGAACUACAGUGACUCUUCAAGCUCAGAAUUAUGCUUCAAAUGGAAGGGAUCUAGGAGUGAGUCUGAAAGAAAGAAAAUGUGGGAGGGAGGGUUUCCUUUGUAUACAGUUAUUUAUGCUUGAAUUUUUCUUCAUUUUUCAUAAAGCAAGGACUGGUCUACAAGUCAAAACACUAACAGCUAAAAAUGGAACUUGUUUUUUAUUUAAUUUUUGGAUAAAAAUAUAACAGUUCUUAUAAUGAGAAGCAUUACAACUCCUAAAGAAAUCUGAUGAAGUUUCAGAAAACCCUCCUUUCCACUAAAUAUGCUACAGAUAAGAAAGAUAUGGAAUUAAAAGAAAAGAUUAAAAGAGUAACUAACUUCUUCAUAUUUCAAAAUUCACAUUUGAAAUGAAAAAAAGAGCAAUCAAUUAUACAAAGCACCAAUCAAUGUGGAGUCUUGGAAUGGUUAAUGUAAAUAGCCUUCACCCUACAAACAAGGAGGCGAUUUCCAUGGCCAAAACCUUGGUCAUUUAUAUUGCAAUGAAGCAAGCUGCAGAAGACUCACCCUCUUGAAUACAUCUGAAGUAAAGAUGCAUAUGCUAAGUGCUUUCUAUUAGCAUUCACGUCUGAAUUCACAAUAUGGAAUUAUUGAGUGGUGCAGAUCAUGACAAACUUGAGAACCACAUAGUAAGACAAAUAAAGCAGAACAGGGAAAAGAGAAAGGUAAAAGCAAAUGAAAUGAACAUACAUGGAAUUCCAUGGAAGAUUCAUAGCAAUCAAGUUUUUGAAGACUUCCUCUCUCUCCUUCUUGUGGAAAAUCAGAAGAUCGUUACAUCCAUCCAUGCUAAAUAUCUCAAUAGCAACAGGGCGAAGCUAGUAAUCACAUUUCAAGAGUUCAUAAAUACUAUCAAGCUUCCACAUACGCCAUGGAUGUGGCAGGUUACUACUGCUACAAACCUUCUCUUUUCCCCAAGCACCUCCAUUAUAUGCCCAUGCUCUUCCACCAGCAAAUGCCUUUGCUGGUGUGCUCCAUGUUGAUGACGAUUUUAGCUGGAACUCGCUGUUACUUGAAAUAUCCAUUUUCACACCUAAAGCUUGAUCAAUCACAGAUAGUUCAUCCUCACAUAAUUUUUCACAUAUGCAGCCAGAGUCAUUAAUAUAGAAGUUUUCGAUAACAUAUAAGCAGAGCUCACCUAAAAGAAAUAUACCAUCAUGCUUAUCAAGACCCACAACACGUUCACUAUUAUACCUGAACCUUAUCUUUUCUGAAGGUUCAAGGUAAGGCCUGAUAAGAUAUUCACCAUUAUUAAGCAGUUCCUUCUUUUGCUUAUCCUCUGAAGCUCUCAUAUUAUCAACCUCAAAAGACAACUGCCUUGGAGAGCCCAAUUCAGAUUUUGUGCCCUCUGCUAUCUGAAAGAGAAGGAACUUGACCUGAUGCCAAACUCCAUGGCAAAGUGAACACUUGGUUCAUGCAUACUACCAUGACCAUUAUCAUUCCACCCAAUCUGAGCAGAUGAUAAGCUUUCGAUUUUAGAACUUUCUUCUUUAAAUAAGGUCUCUUCAUGGUC